UCCCCUCGAAAAGCUCAAUAAAGCUCAAAAUUGUCCAAAAUCCGGAAGCUUCAUUUGAAGCUUUUGGUCUUUUCGAGCUUAUGGGAUCUCGAUAGGGGUCAUUCGAAAAACCUUCAUUUUCACUCUCACAUCCUGCUCAAAGCGGAUAGGCCUCGUAAACGAACGAAUAUCCACACCAGUUUCUAGGUUUCUAGUCGCCAAAGUCAUCAAGCGCUCGAGAAUAUCUUUUCAUUUUACAAGAUCUAAUCACUGUGUGUACAGUCCAAGACUGCAUUUGAAAUCAAGCAGCCACUUGAUUAUUCCUUCCACCAGAGUAAAUGAUCUUGUGAAUAAUUAAAGCCUUUGGGUUUCCUCAACAAAAGACAAAGCUGGACAACGAAAAUAGGACUUGAUCACUUCUCUAGUGAGUGAAUCUGCUAGCUCAUUUGUUGACUUUCUUUCACUAAAGUGAAUGGAAGAGGGGUCAAUUGCUAAAACGUUGAAAGCCAGAACAAAUUGGAAUGAUGGACUGUGAAUUCACAUUUCAUGAAUGUAAGAAAUUAUACAACAAAGGAUGGCCUAAUAUGCUCGAGAGAUGAAUAAGAGAAGUGUUGUUGGAGCCAUUCAAUCAAAAGAAACAGAACAUACUCUCAAGUGCUUUCGAGACCUUCACAUCAUCUAAUGAGUUCAAGAACAUGUCCCAGUAAUUACAGUUCACCUUUCUUGGUCAUUCUGGAGGUGAUUUUCACAGAAAGUUUCCAUAUCUAAAAUAGAGCAUGAUCACCUACAACGACCUAGCAUUUCUCCUAAACCUUCAGAUUUACCUUCAGCUUGUGUUGCGAAAUUGUACUUAACCUCUUCCAAGUCAAACCUCUUGGCAACAUUGAAACCGGUACUGUGUGGACACAAUGACGAUAGCCACCUUCCCGUGGGAGCUCUUGGACAGUGUUGAUUUUAUGUAAUGGUUGUGAUCCAUAUUCAGCAAUGAUCUGUACUUGACUAUCUUCCAAUUGAAUAACCAUUUUAUUUGGUUUUAGUUAACUAUAAGUGGGGUUUUCAAUUGAAUACAUGUGUGCUUAAGUGGGUAUAGUUGUCUAAUUUUUACUUGCAGCUUGAAAUUUUAGAUUCAAUCCUUGGUGCUUUUGGUUUAAGUGGGUUGGGAUUAGUUUUGGUUUUAUAUUUAAAAUCCAAUUGGCUGUAAUGAUUUGUUACAUGGAUAUUAAGGGAAAUGAUUUGUU